GACGUGGUGGCCGAAAGGUGAAGGCGACUGACUGCUAAUCAGUUUCUCUUGAUGGGAGUACAGGUUCGAAUCCUGUUCACGUCG